UACGUAGGAGGCGAGCGUUGUCCGGAAUACUGGGCGUAAAGCGCACGCAGGCGGUUUCGUAAGUUUGGAGUGACAGUGCUCGGCUCAACUGAGCAAGGCCUCUGAAAACUGCGGGACGUUGAGGACCAGAGAGGGACAUAGAAUUCCGGGUGGAGUGGUGAAAUGCGUAGAUAUCCGGAGGAAUACCAAAGGCGAAGGCAGUGUCCUGGCUGGUAACUGACGCUCAGGUGCGAAAGCUAGGGAGCGAACAGG
rnacentral:rRNA from 1 species